UACGUAGGGUGCGAGCGUUAAUCGGAAUUACUGGGCGUAAAGCGUGCGCAGGCGGUUUUGUAAGUCAGAUGUGAAAUCCCCGGGCUUAACCUGGGAACUGCGUUUGAAACUACAAGGCUAGAGUGUGACAGAGGGGGGUGGAAUUCCACGUGUAGCAGUGAAAUGCGUAGAGAUGUGGAGGAACACCGAUGGCGAAGGCAGCCCCCUGGGUUAACACUGACGCUCAGGCACGAAAGCGUGGGAGCAAACAGG
rnacentral:rRNA from 1 species